AUGAACCCUGGCGGCGUGCCUAAUACCUGCAAGUCGAGCGAACAGACGAGGAGCUUGCUCCUCUGACGUUAGCGGCGGACGGGUGAGUAACACGUGGAUAACCUACCUAUAAGACUGGGAUAACUUCGGGAAACCGGAGCUAAUACCGGAUAAUAUAUUGAACCGCAUGGUUCAAUAGUGAAAGACGGUUUUGCUGUCACUUAUAGAUGGAUCCGCGCCGCAUUAGCUAGUUGGUAAGGUAACGGCUUACCAAGGCGACGAUGCGUAGCCGACCUGAGAGGGUGAUCGGCCACACUGGAACUGAGACACGGUCCAGACUCCUACGGGAGGCAGCAGUAGGGAAUCUUCCGCAAUGGGCGAAAGCCUGACGGAGCAACGCCGCGUGAGUGAUGAAGGUCUUCGGAUCGUAAAACUCUGUUAUUAGGGAAGAACAAAUGUGUAAGUAACUAUGCACGUCUUGACGGUACCUAAUCAGAAAGCCACGGCUAACUACGUG
rnacentral:rRNA from 1 species